rnacentral:rRNA from 1 species
AGCUCCAAUAGCGUAUACUAAUGUUGUUGCAGUUAAAAAGCUCGUAGUUGGAUUUCUGACAAGAGCGGCCGGUCCGAGCCUUCGGGUUUGUGUACUUUGUGUUGUCUCUAGUCAUCCUUAUGGAGAACGUGUGUGGCAUUAGUUUGUCGUGCUCGGGACUCAUAUCGUUUACUGUGAAAAAAUUAGAGUGUUCAAAGCAGGCAAUCGCUGUGAAUACAUUAGCAUGGAAUAAUAAGAUAGGACUUUGGUACUAUUUUGUUGGUUUGUAUACCAGAGUAAUGAUUAAGAGGAACGGUUGGGGUAUUCGUAUUCAAUUGUCAGAGGUGAAAUUCUUGGAUUUAUGGAAGACGAACUACUGCGAAAGCAUUUACCAUGGAUGUUUUCAUUAAUCAAGAACGAA